AUGGAGAUAUGGUUUACAACCAGGCAGACUCCAGGACAACUUCUGAGUGUCUCAAAGUGUGCUAAGUCCUGUUAUGAGAUAGCAGUUGCUUGUUGUCUCUUCCCCAUGGCUCUGGAGCUGCUCACCAGGUCUUUGUUUUUAAAUAAAAAAAUUUACACAUGGAUCACUUUGCUUUCCUGCUGGAUCUUAACUGAUGCCACAGUAUUGCUUUCUGCCAUUAGGAAGCUGUCUUUUAAAUAGUUAAUGCUGCCUUAAUUGCAGUGACUGCUUGCAGUCACCGGAGGAGCACUUACUGCCAAGUGGACAAUUGUAGAAAGAGCAGCUAUUGCUCUCAGUUCUUCCAUUUGGGGCAUGUGUGUGGAUACCAAUACUUGUAGCUUCUUUUGGUUUCUGUGGAGUCGGUUAUUGGUUUUCAUGCUGCCCAUUUCCUUUUCUGCCUUUUGGAAGGCUGUCGAGAUUUGCUAAUGACCCAGUGCAUACUGCCAGUCAAAAAAUAGACAUGAAGUCUGGUACAUGCAGAUUGUAUUUGAAGAUUUGUCUAUAUAUUAGGGCAAAGGGCACUGUGCUGAUAAGAAUGGGGAAAAAAAACAGCUUUUGUUUUACUGCCUAAAUGAAAAGUGUAAAGGUUUGGAAACAACAACUUACAACUUGUCAUGUAAUUAUAAUCAUUGUGUUUCAGAAAUUAUUGGGGUAUUUGCUAAAGCUAUUCAGCAAACAUUUUACUGAUAUUUUUUACUUGUUACUCUGAGGAGAAGGGAAUUUGCUUAUUGGUUUGGUAGUCUCAAAAAUGAGUGUCCUUCAUGAAAAUGCAUAUGCUGUCUCAUGUGCUGGUUUCUGAAGGCUUGCAUAGCGUGGUGUCUGCCAGGCAGUUCUUCUCUCUACUGUACAGUUCAUGGGAGGAAAACUGUGUUCCGUUGCACUUUCCUAACCUAAGUGAAUCCCACUGAGUAUUAGGCAGCUCUAGAAAAAGAGUUUGAUAAAUGCUGCUGACAGACCAGCAGGUUAUGGAGGCUGUCAGGAAAAGCUGCAUACAUAAAGAGUGAGCUGGAAGGGUGAAGGAUGGCACUGAGAAAAGUGAUGAAUUGGCUGGGUAAUGGUGGGAAGAGUGCUGGGAGGGGUUAGGGAAGGGGGAAGCUGGACAGAUGGCAGCAAAGGGAAGGUGGGGGAGACGUUAUUGGAGAUCCAGAAGAAAUUGUGGAUAUUGUGGAAAAUUCAGUUAACUUCUGCAGGAUCCUGCAUUCGUGUUGUAUUGGAAAUGAGGGCACACCAUGCUGCUAGGUAGACUUUCUUUUAAUAGUGGACUUUUUUUGUCUUGUUUUCUGUAGCUUUGAUAAGUCAAAAUUAACAUGCAUAGCAUUUUUCAAUAACUAAACAUAGAUUUCCUCUCUACUUAAUAAAAAGAAAUCCCUAGUCUGAACUUCUGGAGGA
rnacentral:lncRNA from 1 species